AUACGGAGGGUGCAAGCGUUAAUCGGAAUUACUGGGCGUAAAGCGUACGUAGGCGGUUAUUUAAGUCAGAUGCGAAAGCCCCGGGCUUAACUUGGGAACUGCAUUUGAAACUGGGUAACUAGAGUUUAGUAGAGGGGAGUGGAAUUUCAGGUGUAGCGGUGAAAUGCGUAGAGAUCUGAAGGAACACCAGUGGCGAAGGCGACUCCCUGGACUAAAACUGACGCUGAGGUACGAAAGCGUGGGUAGCAAACAGGAUUAGAAACCCUAGUAGUCC
rnacentral:rRNA from 1 species